rnacentral:rRNA from 1 species
GGAUUAGGCAUGCAAGUCGGACGGUAGGGCUUUAUCGUAAGAUAGAGUUUGAGAGUGGCGAACGGGUGAGUAACACGUAGGAAUCUACCCUUAAGACGGGGACAACCCAGGGAAACUUGGGCUAAUACCGGAUGAGAGUGCGAGAGAUUGCAUUUAAAAGGAUGGCGAAAGUUGUCGCUUAGGGAUGAGCCUGCGGUCUAUUAGUUAGUUGGUGAGGUAAGAGCUCACCAAGGCGAUGAUAGAUAGGCGGCCUUAACGGGUGGUCGCCCACACUGGGAUUGAGAUACGGCCCAGACUCCUACGGGAGGCAGCAGUCGAGAAUAGUCUACAAUGGCCGGAAGGCUGAUAGUGCGACGCCGCGUGAACGAGGGAGCCCUUCGGGGUGUAAAGUUCUUUUCUAUACGAGCAGUGCUAUAUAUAUGGAUAGUAUAUAUAGAGGGAUAGUAGUAUAGGAAUAAGCAACGGCUAACUCCGUGCCAGCAGCCGCGGUAACACGGGGGUUGCGAGCGUUGUCCGGAAUUACUAGGCGUAAAGGGCAGGUAGGCGGAUCUACGAGUUUUUUGUUAAAGGCUACGGCUCAACUGUAGUAGAGCAGGAGAUACUGUAGGUCUGGAAUGCGGUAGGGGAGGACAGAAUUCCUGGUGUAGCGGUGGAAUGCGCAGAGAUCAGGAGGAAUACCGAAGGCGAAGGCAGUCUUCUAGGCCGUAAUUGACGCUUAACUGCGAAGGUGUGGGGAUCAAACAGGAUUAGAUACCCUGGUAGUCCACACAGUAAACGAUAAUCACUAGAUGUCGGGUUCUAGAUGGAUUCGGUGUCGGAGCCAACGCGAUAAGUGAUUCGCCUGGGGAGUACGAUCGCAAGGUUGAAACUCAAAUGAAUUGACGG